rnacentral:rRNA from 1 species
UACAGAGGGGGCAAGCGUUGUUCGGAAUUACUGGGCGUAAAGGGCGCGUAGGCGGCCUACUAAGUCGGACGUGAAAUCCCUCGGCUCAACCGAGGAACUGCGUCCGAUACUGGCAGGCUGGAAUCCGGGAGAGGGAUGUGGAAUUCCAGGUGUAGCGGUGAAAUGCGUAGAUAUCUGGAGGAACACCGGUGGCGAAGGCGGCAUCCUGGACCGGUAUUGACGCUGAGGCGCGAAAGCUAGGGGAGCAAACGGG